AGGGAAUGAGGGAAGUUUUACUUCAUAGUUCAGUAGAAAACUUGAACCAGGUCAAAUUGGUUCCUUGGAGAGAUCCUGAACUCUCAUUAACUGUUGCAGAAGAAGAUCUGUGCAUUCAGAUCUUUAGAGUCAGCUUGCCUUGACAUGGCUGGCCAGGGAGACACUGAAGUGAGGAUCAUUCUGGUAGGGAAGACUGGAAAUGGGAAGAGUGCUACAGCCAACACCAUCCUCGGGAGACGUCAAUUUGAUUCUAAGAUUUGUGCCAAUGCUGUUACCAAGACCUGCCAGAGAGCAUACAGGGAGUGGAAGGGGAAAAACCUUGUUGUAGUCGACACUCCUGGGCUCUUUGACACCAAGGAGACCAUGAAAACCACAUGUUUCGAGAUCAGCCGCUGCGUUCUCUACUCCUGCCCUGGGCCUCACGCCAUUAUUCUGGUUUUGCGACUGGACCGUUACACUGAAGAAGAGCAGAAAACGGUCGCUCUGAUCAAGGGUCUUUUUGGGGAGGCAGCCCUGAAGUACAUGAUCAUCUUGUUUACUCACAAAGAAGACCUUGAGGAUCAGAGCCUUGAUAAUUUUGUAAGUGAUGCGGGUGAAAAGCUCAAUAAUAUUAUCUCCCAGUGUGGGAAGCGUUACUUGGCCUUUAAUAACAAAGCAGCUCUGGAUGAGCAAGAAAAUCAAGUGCAGCAGCUGAUAGAACUGACAGAGAAAAUGGUGGCCCAAAAUGGCGGAUCCUACUUUUCUGACAAGAUAUAUAAGGACAUAGAUAGCAGGCUGAACCAUUGUCUAGAGGAACUGAAGGAGACUUAUGCUCAGCAACUCACUAGUGAAAUCGAAAGAAUAGAAAAGGAAUAUGCUGCUAAAUUAGAAAAAGGAAAGGCGGCACAAAUUGUUUUUGCACAGAGAAAUCAUGAUGAAAAAUUAAGAAAUUUGAAGGAAAAGGCUGAAGAGACUGUAUUUAUGUAUAUUUUCCAAAAGAUAAAAGAAAUUCUUUCAAAACUUUGGGACGAGUUGUGGUAAAUUUUAUUUAUUUAUUUUUAUUAACGACAUUUGUUUUUGACAAUUUCAUACAAGCACACAUAUAAUGUGUUCUGAAUAUAUUAAUGACUUGCUUGGUGCUGGGAGCCAUGGCCUCAGCCAUUGCCUUGUGGACAUUUUCUAGCUUACAUAAACAAUCCUGACAGAACAUUCGUGGUCAUAACAGGAAGAAUGUGGGUAAAGAGGACACUGUGACCGUUGUUUCCAGAACCUCAAGAUUGCCACCUGACCUUCAGAGCGAUCCCAGACUCUUCCCCCAUCCCCUGAAGCCUCCUCUUGCUUAUGCUCAUAUUGCUACUCCUGAAUAAAGCAGUCUACAUAGCAACUUCCAGCAACAUGAAAAGGGAGGAAGCUUCCAGCCCAGUUCCCGCCUGAUUUCUUCAUAUAGUACAGUGUGUAGAGUGUUUAGCAAUAGGGUGGGUAUAGCAAGUUCUGGUGGGUUCUUUAUAAUUUGACAUGAUUUAUUAAUGUAGUAUAUUGUAUUUUCUGAAGAUGGUUACGGUGACAUGUUACAUUCCCUGACUGAUUGAAGCAUAAUUGAUAAAUAAAAUUGCUUGCUUCUCAUGUGGA